ACAGGGAGCAGUGAGGGGUCAGGUGCCUUGCUCAAGGGCACUUCAGCCACUUCCUACUGGUCGGGGUUCGGACCGGCAACCAUCCGGUUCCAAGUCCAAAGCGCUAACCAGUAGGCCACGGCUGCCCCACGAACAAAUAAUGGUAUGGCAGUCUCUGUGCCACGGUCCAGUAGACAGGCUCCAGCGAGGAACCAGUGGUGCAAAUAACUGACAUGUCCAAAUGGGCCUUCAUGAAAUGCGUCGCUAGAUUGUUCAUACACAUUUUAACGGGCCAAGUUGAAGAGCUGUUGUCCGUUAUUGUUUGUGCAAAUAUAGGCUGAUUCAUGUUCCCUUACAUUGUGUAACUGAGGUCCAUGCACUGUAAAAAAUCAAACUUGGGAAAUAGUGGCCACAACUUGAAAAACUAAUUAAGAAAGAACAUUCUUACAAGUGACCGUUGUCUUAACUUGCAAUCGUGUGUUAUAUGACUGUUUUUUAUUAACAUUAGGAGAACUUGAGUGGUAAAGUUUGGAGAAAUUCAAAAUGUAAGUUAAUCGCAGGGCAAAGUUCAGCCAACUUUUUGGGAACGAGACCACGCAUGCGCAGUCGGAUUCCACCGCUAAUGGAGAGGAGAGGCGCGCGAGGCACAACCUAUGGGCACAACGACUUUGGUAAGUUCACACACAGACAACAGGGUUCGUGUUCAAAUGUAAGGCCCCCCUUAGUUCUGCCGACUAAUACGUCUGUAAUAUCGUUUAGUAUCUCUGUAUGUAGACUAAGGCUGAUAUUAUACGUAAGACCGUUGUGUUUAAAAAUAAACAAAAUGUUUUGGCGCGCUUAGCUAACCGCUAGCGAACAUUAGCUAGCUAACGUUACCUCAAGUCUAGGGGCAGGUGAUUUUUUUUUUUCUUCUGCAAGGCACAACUUGACGAAGAUGUGAAGCAGUUUGGAUUUGACAGAUUCCUUGCCCCUUUGUUGAGAGACAUUUCAGUCUUAGAAAAGGAAGGGCUAUAUGUUGAGGCAAAACGCAACAAUGUGAAAGGAACAAUUUAUUGUGUUUGUGCUGAUAAUUUGGGAGCACAUGGAUUGGCUGGCUUUCAAGAAAGUUUUUCUGUCGCCAAUUUCUGCAGAUUCUGUCUGAUCAGUCGAGACACUCUGGAAAAAGCUCCUUGUGAUUUUCCGCUGAGGACUCCUGAGCAGCACGAUUUACUGGUAAGAAGACUUCCGGGCAACAACGCCAUUUGUGGUGUCAAAGAAAUUUAGAAAAUGUUGCUGCGUGUCAUAAUAUCGCCGAACAACAUAAAAAAAAUAAGUAUGCCAGAUCUCCCCAGCUCAUUACAAAGCUUAAAAGAAAUUCUACAAGAUCAACUGCAGCUGAACAAAGGAUUCAUUCUCCAAUUUGAGGACCCAGAGUUUGGAAAUGAACUCUGCAACUUAACAGCUAUUUCAGAGCUACCACCUGAGAAAGCUACCCUGAAGGUGAUUUAUGAGGCAAGCCCUGACCCUGAUGGAUCAGAUGUUCCUGACCCUGAUGGAUCAGAUGUGUCACUGUCGUCACUGGAUACAGCAUCACCUCCAAGUUCAUGUAGCUCUCCUGGUACAUCUAGACGGGUUUCUGCAUGGCCAACUCCUUUUCCGAUACCAACCUUUGCCUAUGAUGUCGAAUUGCGCCUCCAAAAAGGAAAUGAUGCCUACAAAGAGAAGGGCAUCCUGUUAGAAGCCACUAGAGACAUGAAAAGUGACAUUCUAGAUAAAAUUGCGCAAGCUGUGUUUGAGAUUACUGCAUAUCCAGAACCAAAAGAAAGAGAGUCUAUAGCAAUAGCUCUUGUCAAUAAACAUCCCUGCCUUCGUGAACCAGGAAGCGGAAAUGGGUGGAAUGGAUGGAAUAUCAGUAUUGCAUUCAAAAUUGGAAACUACCGUCAGAAGCUGCGCAAUGCAGGCUGCGAAGAAGUGAAGGUGAAUGAAAGGCGGGGAAACCAUGGAAGACCUUUCAAAAAAGCAAGAAGAGCCGAGGUCAAUUUCCUUCCUAACCACCCCGCUGGACAGAGUGAAGACUCCUUGGAAAAGGAUCGAGAUUCAAUAACCAUUGAGAUGGAAAAAAGGAAUCCUAACAUGACUUUUGUCAGUGGAGCUAUGGAUCGCACAUUCUCCUUGCGAAGGAAAUAAAUAGUUGAACAGGAACCCCAUGUUGUAUUGGUGAAAAACAGAUGGCCAGCUCUCUUCCUGGAGUAUCAGGUGAACUUUUAAUUUCACAGAUUAACGAUGAUUAACCUCAAGAGAACAUUCCUGGAAGCUGUUGACACACACACCCCAAGACUCCUGCAGAUGUUUAGAAACAGAAGAGCACAUUUGGGUGAAGAGAUGCAGACACUCCUUGACUCAUUGGAUAAGCAGACAUCGGACAUUUCCAUGCACAGAAAGACCGUGGCACUCCGAGGGCUUCCAUUGUUCCUGAAAGACUACGGAGCAGAGAAGAUUCUAACAACAUGCUUGCUCCUCCCAUUUCCCCUUGGCCAUAAAGAAGAGAAGCUCAUUUUGCUGAGAAAAGCCAUCAUGCCAAGAAUUAUCCCACAUGAGAUGGAGGAGGAGCUUGCCAAACACUUGAAACAACUAGCUGAACAGUUCCAUGACCUUCCUCCAGUUAAGUCCUGUCAACUGGCAUUUGAAUAUACAGAAAGAAACAAUAUCCCUGUCCCUGACAAUUGGACAAAGACACAAUGUGCAGAUCCAGAGGCAACAUCCCUGGGAAGGGCUACAGCCUUCAAUAAAACUACAGUUCUUUGACAAUCUGGCUGUAGUGAUGGACAGGCAUGCCUUCCCUCCACACAUGAUUUACAAUGUAAAUGAAACGGGUGUCUUUACAGUACAAAAGCCACAGCAGGUUGUGACAGAGACAGGAAAAAAGCAAGUUGGUUCUGUCACAUCGGCUGAGAGAGGAGAACUGGUGACUGUGGUGUGUGCAGUGAAUGCUGCUGGGAAUGCCAUAGCUCCCAUGUUUGUCUUCCCCAGAGUCAAGUUUAAGGACUGCUUCAUGACAGGAGCACCUCCAGGAGCCAAAGGUACCGCCACCAGAACGGGAUGGAUGAAUGAAGACACCUGGCCUGAGUUCCUUGAUCACCUGAUACAGCAAUCUAACUGCACCCCUGAUCGUCCCAUGCUGCUAAUCCUGGAUAAUAAUCUAAAAGCUCACAUCUCACUCAAGGCAAUAGAAAUAUCCAAGAGCAUCGGAAUUGUUCUGCUCACCCUCCCACCCCACACAUCCCAUCGCAUGCAGCCUCUCGACGUGACCGUGUAUGGUCCGUUCAAGACCCAAUACAGCCGUGCUCUUGAUGGGUGGAUGAGGUCACCACGCAACAUCACUUCUGGAUUUAGGUCCACUGGGAUUUUCCCAUAUAACCAAGACAUUUUCCCUGAUGAGGCGUUUGCACCAUCCAUGGUGUCAGACCGGCCAAACCCUGAGCUGCAGCCUGCCACUGCAGAUGAUCUGGGUGGUCCACCCCCUGCAGAUGAUCCACCUGCAGACGAACCACCUGCUGAAGAUAAUUCACCCACUGAUGCUUAUCCAUCCACUGCAUAUUGUCCAAAUGCCACACGCCUCGCCAGCUGACUCAGAUGUGCCACGUGUUUCCAGCCGACCUGGAUAUGUGUCUCCUCGGGAAAAUCCUACCACUUCCCGAAUGUCCCCCCGGAACACAAACCAAACGAAAGCGUGUGAAGUCAGAGAAUGACUGAUGCUCUGAUUGUGGAUUGAGUCCUGUUGAGUCCCAGGCUGUUCUAGUUGGCUCUAAGGGUCCUGUGUUCUAAACCCCAGACUGUGUUUGAGUUGCAACGGAGUUGAGUUGCAGCAAGCACGGAUAAGAGGCAGCCACGUCAGCAGCACAGGAAUGUCCAUCCCAGAAACGUCUCUCCCGCAGCGUUUCCACCGUAGCUACGGACCUUCCUCUUCGACUUCCCCAAGCCCGGACCCGGUCCAGGGCUGCCCCCUUUUCCCCCUCCCCUUUCCAUUCACGGAGCCAUGUCUGAUCAGCAUGUGAUGGCCCACGAAGAGGCCUCGGGACUAAUUCCAAUAAACACCUCGCUGACUCCCCAGUCACCUCGCGAACCGGGCACGUCGACAGCGCCAUCACUCCACCACCGCUCCAGCCACAGCCACGUCAGCGGGCCAGGACGUUUUUUUUUUAUUUUUCCUGCUGACUUCCUUCCCGCAGCAUCUCCGCUAUAGUUCCGGAUCCAUCUCCACUUCUUCAGACGAGAAGGCCCCGCGUCGCUACUCCCUCCGCCCCCUCUUCCCCUCCCCCAUCCACUUCCCCCAGCCAGGCCCCGGCCCAAGGCUGCCCCACUUCCAGUCGUUUCCCUCCCCUUUCCAUUCCUGGAGCCACGACUGUACAGCACGCCACGACUCAUGACGCUCAAGGCGUCCAUUCAAAGAUAGCUAGAUCGCUAGCUCCCCAUCUUCAUCACGAGUUAGCAAGGCCACAGCCUUUGCAUUCCAUCUGCCUACUCAUCAUUCAUGCUAUUCAUGCUUUAUCUGCCUACCAUGUAUUCUGUGCUGUAUGUCGUAUCAUGCCGAAUUUUGUAUAUGUAUUCAGGUAAUGGUAUUCUAUCAGUUUUAUUUCAGCCCAGGUCGAAUUGUUAAGGCUGCCACAGAUAGGAUGGAAUGAGCUUGGAUCCAUGCAACAACAGCUUCAGGGAGACCCAUGCAGCAACUGCUCCGCUGAGCUCCUGGACCCCUGCAACAACGGCUCCGCUGAGCCCCAAGAACCAUGCAACGGCUCCGCUGAGCCCCAAGAACCAUGCAGCAACAGCUACGCUAAACCCCAAGAUCAAUGCUACCUUGAGCUUCAGGACCCAUACAACGACGGCUCUGCCAAGCCCAAAUACCCAUGCAACUCUGAUCUCUGAGUCCCAGGACCCAGGCAGCAAUGGCUCAGCCGAGCCCAAAGGCCCAUGCAGCAACAGCUCUACUGAGUCCCAGGACCCAAGCAACGAUGGCUCCACCGAGCCCCAGGACCCAUGCAACAACGGUUCCCUUGAGCCCAAAGGCCCAUGCAGAAGCAGCUCUACUGAGUCCCAGGACCCAGCCAACAACAGCUCCAACAAGUCCCAGGACCCAUGGACGAUCCCUGCUAUGCACUCCAUGACCCUGGCUAAGGAUCUUGCUAAACAAGCAGAAUUGUAGAUUGUAAUUUGGUAUGUCAACCCAUGAAUCCCUCACAAAUCUUCGAAUCACGUGCCACUGCAACUACAUCAUCCUCAUUUCCAAUGCACUGACCUGAGCUCUGCAAUGGCAAGUUGUACUCCCUUACACUGAUCCCGCGGUUACUACUGCAAGCUCUACUCCCCUACACUGACCCUACACAGAUUAUAUUUUGACAUGUAUCUCACCACAACAAGCUCAUAGCUCUACAUGCAUUUCAUGUGUGUGUAGGACAGACUGUCCUGAAUCUGGCAAUAUCAUUGCCAUGUUGGAGGGAUACUCUGGGG